CUAGCCUUUACACGUCACGCGCUGUGUGGUUGUUCGGAGGAGCUCUUAUGCCCCCUGCAAACUAUUUCGUUGAAACCUUGAUCCAAAUGCCCGCGAAAUCAUGUUGAGUUCUUUUUGUAACAUUGAGUACUUUUAAAAGGUACUUAAAUUUCAAAAAUAGUAAUUUCAUGAACUCAAAAGUAAUGUUUAGUGUUUUUCAUCACUUCUGCGAAGACUCUCGGUUCUAUCCCGUCUCUUCCUGACGCAUGCGCGUUACAUUUCGUUCUUCCUAUUAUUCUCCAGCGGCAUAAAACUAAAUAUUCUACUUUGUUUACUGUCAUUCUCUGUGCGGUAUUUUUGCUGCAGACUUAUCAUUUCAUAGUUCAGUCACUGUACGAUAAAGGUACUCAAGAAUUCUUAUGAAAUCUAAAUAAAUCCAAGUACAGGAUAAAUCUACUUGGCCUUCGUUAAGGAUUCAAUAAAUUGCCAACCUACUUGCAAUUUUUGAUAAAAUCCUAUCUUCGAAAUUUUCAACUUGGUGGAGUUCUGAACCUGCGUCCGAAAUGAAAUACUGCCGAUCUGAAAUUUUUUAGUUACAUAAGGCAGAGAAUCAUUAAGACCUAUUAAGUUCUUCAUUGUGUUGAACGAAACCAGCUUUUGACCGAUAUACGUGAACUUGCAAAACUCUUUGUAAAAAAUAUGAAGAUGUAAUCGAAAAUUCUUCUCGUUUGUGAGCCAUGAAUUUAUUUAAAUUUAUUAUAACUGUAGUUUAGUUAUUCACGUCAUGAGUAGAGUGAAACCAGAGAGUAACACUGAGACCGUGUCUUAUACUCCCUCAGUGCCGUCAAUCAUUCCGGUUGGGUCUUUAUCGCCAGCAAAUUCGUCUAAUUCUGGUAUUCCGAGAUCACCAAGUCACGAAUCUUUUGCUACAGACUUAUCUCUAAUGUCUUUGUCAAGCCUAGGCUCGGAAAUAAAUCGGAUGCGUGGCUCUAUUUUUCGGCCUAAGUCCCAUUCUGGGGUUGAUGGUGCUGAUUCAGGAGAUGAAAGACGUAGUCCUGUAAUUAUGGAUGGAGGAGUAGGGGGUUGGGUAGCUCGAAACACAAAACUGACCAGAGGAAACAAUAGUGGUUUAUUGCAGGUUCCUCCUGAGCAGUAUGGUGUGAAACGAGGAGUAGCCGAUGAUGUUUUAUACGAAGAAGAAAAUGAGGCAAUCCGCAACUGUGGUGCUCUAUCUUCUAUGUUAGGUUUAAUGCGGAGCUUCAGUACUAGCGAUCUGGAUCAAAAUAUUUUGAUAAAUUCUGAAGGUGAAAACCUACGAUCAUCUGUAUCUGAAAUGGUUUUGAAUAGCUGGAAACAUUAUGAUAUGCCUUAUGGAAGGUUAGAAUACACUUCACGCUCUUGUUCUACAUGGGUUGCUGUUGGUGAUAUUUCAACUACAUCUCAGUUGCCAUCUCCCCAAACUCUGACGGGAUAUGCAGCAGAACAUCCGGAGAUGACGGCCAUCGAUUUCGUCCGUGCCAUCAACAAAAAAGUCCGCCAGAUGUAUAUCCGCAGGCGUCUGGAGUCCACUUACAAGGCGCUAGAACGACUCACCCGGAGUGAACUUAGCUUGGAUCUGCCCUCGAUUGCUGUUCCUGUUCCAGCAGCUUCCAACAGCGGCCCUCUGGGAUCACUUGAUGAUUCGUCCAACUACCUGGCUACAGAUACCCUACGCUCACACGCCCCAUUGCCACAGUUUCACAUUUCCACUGAGCUCGAUCGAUCCAUUAGACAUGAGCUCCAGAUUUCUUCUGUUGGUUUCCAUGGAGCUAAUAAGACUUUAAGCUUAACUGUAAAAGAUAUCGAGCGAGAUAAGGGAAAGCCGCUUUCAAAAUACGAAAGAAAUAUGAUGAUUUUCAACUGGUUACAGAGCUUAGAUGAAAAUGCUUUCGAUCAGCUGGCAUGAGUCUUCUUUUUCAAAAGAAGGAACUCAAAAAGCGAAGCCAAAAUAUUCUGAUAUAUAAAAAUAAUAAUUCGAUGAAUCAGUUUCUUUCUACUUUUUUUAUUCUAAGCCUUAACCUUAAUCAUCAGAAAAUUAGUUUUUCAUUCUCUGCACCGGAAGUUGUCAAAAUAUAAAUUAAAGAUCGAUUUUUACAUUAUUUUCGUAAGAAUGUAUUAUGAAAUUGUAUGUGCCUACAAAUUUAAAUGCAAUAAUGAAAUUAUCUUAAAAAGUUAUAAAAUUAGUUUAGAAAACCGUUAUUGCCAAGUAUUGAGCAUUUUCUGUAACUAAGAAAUAUAUAUUGUUCGUUAAUGCUUACUUCUCCAUUUUAUUCAUGUCAUCUGUUAUUGCAAUGUAGUUGAAAUUUCUUAUCAAGAGAAAAAUUUUCUGCAGAUCUGUGGACAGUAACUUUAUUAUGUAAAUUAAUGGAAAUAUUCAGUUUGUGAUAACUAUAAUUGUGCAGUUUCGUGUUCUAUAAGUUAUCUUGAUCAAACAGAAUGUGUCAUAAGCUAUUAUGUAUCAUUAUUUACAUAUAUGAGUGUUAUGUUAAAUUUUGGUGGCAUAGCUGAUGAUAUAUGAAUUUUCCUGCGUUGUAACAUCAUAUAUUCUUAUAACGUUAAGCGUAUCAUAAUGUGAAGUAUGUGUUUCCUUGAGGAGAACAUUUUAUCAACAUUUUAUCAACAUUUUAUCAUGAAUUUAUCUGUGAAAUCCUUUCCACUAGACAUUGAAGUGCUGUAUGAUUUUAAAUGCUUAUUAUUAGAAAAUAGUUUUAUGUGCUUGAUACAUUUAGUGCUGGGCAUACUUAAACCAGUGUUUUCCGUGUCUUCUGGGUAAUCAUUGUUUUAGUUACUGGUGCUUCGGGAUAUGUAGCAGCCCAUAUUGUAAAACUGCUCCAAAGUGAAGGGUACAAAGUACGUGGAACUGUCCGAAGUUUACAGAAUGAAGCAAAAGUAAAGCCUUUAAUGAAU
rnacentral:misc_RNA from 1 species